GUAGUAUUCCCUCCGUCCCAAAAUUCUUGUCUUACAUUUGUUUAGAUACGGAUGUAUCUAACACUAAAAUGUAACUAGAUACAUCCGUAUUUAGACAAAUUUAAGACAAAAUUUUUGGGACGGAGGGAGUACAAA
rnacentral:pre_miRNA from 1 species